UACAGAGGUCCCAAGCGUUGUUCGGAUUCAUUGGGCGUAAAGGGUGCGUAGGCGGCGCGGUAAGUCGGGUGUGAAAUCUCGGGGCUUAACUCCGAAACUGCAUUCGAUACUGCCGUGCUUGAGGACUGGAGAGGAGACUGGAAUUUACGGUGUAGCGGUGAAAUGCGUAGAUAUCGUAAGGAAGACCAGUGGCGAAGGCGGGUCUCUGGACAGUUCCUGACGCUGAGGCACGAAAGCCAGGGGAGCAAACGGGG
rnacentral:rRNA from 1 species